AGAGCUCAUCGAAGUGGUUCACCGUGGGAGCUGAGAUGCUCCCUAAAGACCCACCCUAGACCGAAGCCAGAGAGGCAAAGGGGCGACAGCAGGGUCCGUGUGGCCGUGUCACGGAGCAAAGCCACCAGACUGGGAUGGAGCUUUUGGAGUUGAGACUUCAUAAAAAUGCCUUUGCUCUCGGUUGCCAUGGCUGUGCGGUGUGAGCCUCUUUCUAUCCAUGAGCUCAUGGUGUCUCCCAGGCGGCUGACCGUGAGGAGAGAUGGUCUCUUGGGCUCCUUGCUCCCGGGAAGCCCUUCUCAUGCUAGGGGUCAGAGCCCCCAGGAGACUUCCUCAAGCUCUCUGCACCUGCCAGACUUGAUGGGGACAAUCUUUACCGUCUGUCACCUGCUCCAUUUGUAAAGCCUGUCCCCUCGCCCUGAGAGACAGCCGACCCGGAAGAGUUCCCACGGACUUAACCUCUGCCUCAGUUACUUGUAUCCAUGCAAUGGGUGUAACGGGGAGAAGAUGAGGUCAUUCAGCCUGCGGGUGGAACACGUGGGAACCAAAACAACACCUGCCCGUACAUCCAAGAGGGUCUCGCCUCUACUUACCUCGUUCCCCACCCUGUUCUCACCCUACUGGUUCUCUCACCAGUUAAUGGCGCUGGGGUUGUCCACUCUGUUGCCUCCACUACUGCCACUCCCACCCCACAUCCAAUCCCUCGCUCACCCCUCCUAUCAUAACCCCAGUUCAUGCCACAGGCCACCGGCACCUUUCACAUGGGUUGUGCGAUGCUCUCCUGGCGAGGCCAAGGCAACUUUGGCUGGCAGACAAGGUCAUGGCAGAAGGUCUGUCUCAGCACGGCCUGAGAAGGACAGCUGCGGCCCUCUUGGUGGUUUUAGGUUUGUUGGGAACUGCACUCUGGGUAAGAAAGCCAGAGCUUCCUGGUAGUCCGGCUAAUGAUCGCUGUAUUCAUAAUUUUAGGGAAGAACGCUUAGUCUCAUUAUCCCCAAAAUGCCCAUUGCUUUGUAGAAUUUUAAUCAAGCAGAAUGUUAGUGUAGGAGAAAGGGUUAAUGCUUUAUGCAAGGUUGAGCUGUUUGUGGAAAAGAAUUAAAAGGCAACAGGCUCCCUGGUAUAGACUUCCCAAUAGAAUAAAGAUAAAUGUUAUUAAAGCUUUAAUUCUAUAUAUGCUACAAAUACAACAAUGGUUAGGAUGUCAAAACUGUAGAAUAGACCUAAGUGAACCUUAAAUAAGUACAAUAAAGAAAUUAAAGAAUUGCAAAAAGAACUGCAGAGAGGGGAUUUUAAAAAGGGCUUGCAUUGAACUUGGGGCUUCUAGUAAAGAAUAGAUUAGGAAGGUACUAUGCUAGCUGGUGUAGCCAAUUUCUGCAUAACUCAACAGCACUCCAAGCCUUGGCUUGUGUGGGCAGCCCGUUAUCUCACACCUGUCUGUGAUUGUAACCCAUGUCCUGAAUAUGCCCUUGAAAAUCAAAGAAGUUGUAAUUUUAAAAAAAUGGACAACAGACAUGUUAUUGUGAGAAAAAAGAAUCAUUAUGUGGCUUAGGAUAUAAAAAUAAAGUCUGGUGCUCUAGAGCCGG